AGGAUUAGGGCCGAGAGGGGCCUGAGAUCGCCUAGUCCACUGCCCUCCCCAAGGAAAACUCAGAGGCUCUCCAAGUGGACACCGGACACUCGAGGUCCUCUGUUCCACUGAGACCCGAGGAAACACCGCUAGCCUUGGAAAGGGAGAGCUCGGAGAACAUCACAGAGGGAGAAACUGAGUCUGGGCAAAGGCCGUGACCACUCGCCUUCCACACAAAGACCCCAGGGACCCCCAUUGUCCAGAAGAGCGCAAAGGAACACUUCACAGAAGGGGGGGGGCUGGAGGGGCUUGCCUCCAAGACACAGACCCCAGAACGGCAGAAAGCUGGGAGUCCCCUACACAAACACUCCCUCCCGGGUCUCUCCUUCCCAGGAGCAGUGGGGAAAGUCCGAGAGGGGCUAAAUAAGACAGAGGCGGCCCCGGAACCUCUCCAGAGUCCCAGACCGGGAGAGAAGAGCCCCCUCGUUUCCAGUGCCUGUGGCUGCAUACGGAGGUCUGAGGGGAAGUUUGAAUCCGGGGCUUCCUGCUCCUGCCACAGCUUGAGAUUUCUGAGAGGAAAAGCACCCGUCUGGGCCGUGGAAAGCUUCCUAAAGCACUUCGAGAUUUCCGAAGCAUUUUCUUUCCGAUUUCAAGGGGAGAGACUGGGCCCGGGGCAGGGGAAGGGAGGAAGCCUUUUCCCGCUUCUCCACCCCCAGAAAUGCCCCUUGGAGGGAGCGAUUGCCCACGUGCAGGGUAGACGGGCUUCUCUGAAUGGCGGGGGCCCACACUGUCUUCUAUCUAUACAGUAAUCUGUCCCGGUAUGGACUAGGCCAUCCACGUGUACCUGUGCAUCCCGAAGGGCGUGCCCUCCCCCACCCCCGCCGUCUGACUUCCCGGGGCCGGACCACACCCCUCCAGGGUGAUGUUUCCCCAGUGGACAAUUGAAACUUCUCCCAUUUUCCCAGUCUGAUAGUAACCUGCACUUACAUCAACAUUUUGCCGACGUUGGAUCCUCCGAGGCAGGGGCGGAUAAGGAAACUGAGGCAAAGAGGGGUUAAGUGUCUUACCCAGCAUUACCCAGAAAGGCGAGUAGCUGAGGUUCGGUCUUCCUGACUAUCCCCUGGACCACGACUGCCUGUGUCUAGCACUUUAUUGUCAACAACUCCACCAGCAUCCAUGGAAAAUCCACUGAGAGUGACACCCUCAUCUGCUUCUAUUAAGUUAAAAUUAAGUUUGCCUCUUUAUUUCCCAGGUAA